rnacentral:rRNA from 1 species
GAUGAACGCUGGCGGCGUGCCUAAUACAUGCAAGUCGAGCGAACAGACGAGGCGCUCGCUUUACUGACGUUAGCGGCGGAUGGGUGAGUAAUACGCGGAUAACCUAUCUAUCUGACUUGGCUUACUUCGGGAAACCGGAGUUAAUACCGGUCAUUAUCUUGAACCGUAUGGUUCCUUAGUGAAAGAUGGUUCUGUCGCUACCUAUAGAUGGAUCCGCGCCGCAUUAGCUAGUUGGUAAGGUAACGGCUUACCAAGGCAACGAUGCGUAGCCGACCUGAGAGGGUGAUCGGCCACACUGGAACUGAGACACGGUCCAGACUCCUACGGGAGGCAGCAGUAGGGAAUCUUCCGCAAUGGGCGAAAGCCUGACGGAGCAACGCCGCGUGAGUGAUGAAGGUUUUCGGAUCGUAAAACUCUGUUAUUAGGGAAGAACAAAUGUGUAAGUAACUAUGCACGUCUUGACGGUACCUAAUCAGAAAGCCACGGCUAACUACGUG